AACGAACGCUGGCGGCAGGCUUAACACAUGCAAGUCGAACGGGUGUAGCAAUACAUCAGUGGCAGACGGGUGAGUAACACGUGGGAACCUUCCUAGGGGUACGGAACAACUCAGGGAAACUUGAGCUAAUACCGUAUACGUCCGUGAGGAGAAAGAUUUAUCGCCCUUAGACGGGCCCGCGUCGGAUUAGCUAGUUGGUGGGGUAACGGCCUACCAAGGCGACGAUCCGUAGCUGAUCUUAGAGGAUGAUAAGCCACACUGGGACUGAGACACGGCCCAGACUCCUACGGGAGGCAGCAGUGGGGAAUCUUGGACAAUGGGCGCAAGCCUGAUCCAGCCAUGCCGCGGGAGUGAAGAAGGCCUUAGGGUUGUAAAGCUCUUUUACCAGGGACGAUAAUGACGGUACCUGGAGAAUAAGCCCCGGCAAACUUCGUGCCAGCAGCCGCCGUAAUAC
rnacentral:rRNA from 1 species